UACUUGAACCAGAUGCACUGCUUUUCCGGGGCCUGAUGGGAUCUCCUAGAGACUAGUUGAUGUUCUUGCUCAGAGUAUUAAGUAAGUAGCUUCAGUGAUCAUGAUGAUGCAGCUGAGCAGAUCAACAAGCUUAAGGUGAAACCCCUCAAACAAACAAGCCACAAUGGAGAGCCCAAAAUCUGCUUGGAACAGGAAGCUGAGGAACAGAAUUGCCCUCCAAGACACAUGCCAAUACCAGUCCUGUCUUUAUGGUCAUGGAGGGGAAGCUAGGAAUUACAACUGCAAAUGAAGACUGC